rnacentral:rRNA from 1 species
CAGGUCUCUGGGGCAUUAACUGACGCUGAGGAGCGAAAGCAUGGGGAGCGAACAGGAUUAGAUACCCUGGUAGUCCAUGCCGUAAACGUUGGGCACUAGGUGUGGGGGACAUUCCACGUUUUCCGCGCCGUAGCUAACGCAUUAAGUGCCCCGCCUGGGGAGUACGGCCGCAAGGCUAAAACUCAAAGGAAUUGACGGGGGCCCGCACAAGCGGCGGAGCAUGCGGAUUAAUUCGAUGCAACGCGAAGAACCUUACCAAGGCUUGACAUGGACCGGACCGGGCUGGAAACAGUCCUUCCCCUUUGGGGCCGGUUCACAGGUGGUGCAUGGUUGUCGUCAGCUCGUGUCGUGAGAUGUUGGGUUAAGUCCCGCAACGAGCGCAACCCUCGUUCCAUGUUGCCAGCGCGUAAUGGCGGGGACUCAUGGGAGACUGCCGGGGUCAACUCGGAGGAAGGUGGGGACGACGUCAAAUCAUCAUGCCCCUUAUGUCUUGGGCUUCACGCAUGCUACAAUGGCCGGUACAAAGGGUUGCGAUACAUGUGAGGUGGAGCUAAUCCCA